rnacentral:misc_RNA from 1 species
GCGAUAAAACUGAACUAAUCCCAAGUGCUUUUUGUCUUACCAAAAUUUCUUCUGCAAAUUACUAAAAGUGAAAACGAAUAACUGCUGAACCUUUGAGUAUUUUAGAAGGAAAUGGUCUUACGAUUUCAUAUAUAAAAAAGGGAAAAUCUUAUUCAAGGUUAGUCUGAAUACGAGAUCGAUGGAGCUACGACGCAUCGUCCUACUUAUCUAUUCAUCACUGUCCAUCACCUUCAUAAUCCAAUGUCACUGCGCAUGUCCUUCUUGUGAAACAGUUCAUUUCAACGCCAAUCAAAACGUCAUGUUGAACUUCGCAAUGGAAGGAAGAGAGAUUGAUUCAGAAAACGUCUCCAGCGUAUUUGAGUGCUUCAUUCGGUGCCACAAGAAUUGCCUUUGUGAGUCGUUCAAUUUUUGGCGACGUUCCCAGAGCGGGCCAGGAGGUGUGUGUGAGCUCAAUAGGGCAGAUAUACACGGAGAUCCUUCAGCUGUCAAGCCAACGAAUGGAUCACUUUUCUUUAAUCUUCAAAGACAGGUCGCUCCUGGUUGCCCAAGCUGCUCCUCUCGUUUGUCCUGUUGUUCAUCAAGUAAUCCGUGCUAUAAUGGAAGAUGCAUCGAUUCGUGUAGUGAGAUGGGUAAGCGCUACAAGUGUAAGUGCUUCCCCAACUUUUCGGGGUAUCGCUGUCAACACUUUAUGGAUAACAGCUAGAGACUUUAAAUCUGGACGUUACGAUAUUCCCGCUUGAAUAUAGUGAGCUGCCUUGGACCGGGUAUUGACAGAGAAUCUUCUUUACCAAUUUAGUUUAGUUUAGUCUAGUUUAGUUUAUUUGUCACAAUAUAAACAUAUACAUUUUAUAAAACUUGAGACAUACAAAUUUUGUGACUGACGAAGAAAACAGAACUUUCGUCCCAAUUGAUAUUUCCUCUCCUUACAACUUACAUACAGUACAAACAUGAUUAACAUUAAAAUUGACGAGGAAAAACAAUAAUAAAAAGAAAAACAUAUCAAAAUUUAAAUUCAAAAGAUUUUAAGGUGGUAAGUAAUGUUCCAUUUUGAAAGCAAAAUGGGUGGUCACAUGCACGUUCCUUAAAUUUGGAAAGGCUUACAUCACUCAUUUUCAGUGUAUUAGUAGCGAGUUCCAGUUUCUAGUUUGAUAGAUCUAGGUAGAAACGAGUUAAGGUAAUAGUCCAGUGUUUGAAGAGAUUAAGUUCUUGGAAAUCGUUUUCGUAGUAGUUUCUUGAGGCAAAAUUAGGCUGAACGGAUUUCACAAACAACUCAAACAAUUACUUCUGCGUUUCCCUCAAAAUCUUUCCGGCGUAAGUUAUUGAUUGAAUUUCGAAGAGCAAGCAAAAGUCCUCCUCCCCUCUACUUGUUUAAUCAGUCUCUUCUGUGGAAUGACAAAAUUAGCGCCUGAUAGAAGUUCGCAGUUCACUAUAGAUGGUUUAAGCCAGGAUUCAGUCACUGCAAGUAUAUCUACAUCUGCCGCAAGUGCUUUAACUCCAUCAUGUUAACAAUACUCCUAUCCUUGCGUUGAGGUACAGACAAUUUAUUUUCCUUGAAGAAUCAGCAUCAGAACUAGGAUUCACUUCAAUGUCAUGUAUGAGUUUAAUCGCAGGAUGGAAAUUUCCCACAACGUUACUAUAAUAGUUGAUAGGAGCUUUAGUUGGUUUGAUGCGAGAAUAAACGAUGACUUGCUGAAUAAGGAUGCUAAUCCAUUCCCUGUUGUAUCAUCUGAAUCUUGUAUAAUGAUGACACUCCAUAGUCUUAUCACAAGUAUUGAUAUGCAGACCCAAACGGAGCGAUGUAGAUCUUUGCCGGCUGUGAAGAUUUUGUUUAGCCCGAGGUACUUCUUUCCAUUUCAUUUUCAUGAAAUAAUCUGUUAGAUUUUAUGCACUCACUGCACUCAUCAAAACUUGCAGCUCAUGAUCAGUGUCUUGUUAUACAGGGCUUAAUAUUUUAUGUUGAUCGAAGUAUUCACUUAAGCUUCUGUUCGGUGCAGUGAUAUUGAGAGAAAUUAAAAGACACGAGAGGUGUGCACUGUAAAACUCCCAGGUAAAUUCAAACUUAAUAUUGACGAAAUCUACGCAGUAUAAACCGAAAGUUUUGGAAAUACAUUUCACCCAAAAUAAACCACUAAAACUUU